rnacentral:tRNA from 1 species
GCCAGCAUGGUGCAGUGGUCUGAAUGUUAGACUAUGACACUGGAGACCAGGGUUCAAAUCCCCACUCAGCCA